UACGUAGGGUGCGAGCGUUAAUCGGAAUUACUGGGCGUAAAGCGUGCGCAGGCGGUUUUGUAAGCCAGAUGUGAAAUCCCCGGGCUUAACCUGGGAAUGGCAUUUGGGACUGCAAGGCUGGAGUACGGCAGAGGAGACUGGAAUUCCUGGUGUAGCAGUGAAAUGCGUAGAUAUCAGGAGGAAUACCGAUGGCGAAGGCAGGUCUCUGGGCUGAUACUGACGCUCAUGCACGAAAGCGUGGGGAGCAAACAGG
rnacentral:rRNA from 1 species